GACGAACGCUGGCGGUGUGCUUAACACAUGCAAGUGGAGCGACGAACCAGGGCUUGCCCUGGGGCAGAGCCGCGAACGGGUGAGUAACACGUGGGUAACCUACCCCGAUGACUGGGACAACCCGAGGAAACUCGGGCUAAUACCGGAUGUGUCCGACAUUCACGAGGAUGUCGUGCAAAGGAAGCUUCGGCCUCCGCAUCGGGAGGGGCCCGCGGCCCAUUAGCUUGUUGGUGGGGUAACGGCCUACCAAGGCUGCGAUGGGUAGCUGGUCUGUGAGGGCGAGCGGCCACACUGGGAAGGGGACACGGCCCAGACUCCUACGGGGGGCAGCAGUGGGGAAGCUGGCGCAAUGCGCGAAAUCGGGACGCAGCAACACCGCGUGAGGGAAGACGGCCUUCGGGUUGUAAACCUCUUUCAGGAGGGACGAAGGCAGGCCGGUUAACAGCCGUGCCGGCUGACGGUACCUCCACAAGAAGCACCGGCUAACUACGUGCCAGCCGCCGCCGUAAAAC
rnacentral:rRNA from 1 species